rnacentral:rRNA from 1 species
AUACGUAGGACGCGAGCGUUAUCCGGAUUCAUUGGGUUUAAAGGGUGCGCAGGCGGGAGAUUAAGUCGGCGGUGAAAUUUUGCAGCUCAACUGUAAAAGUGCCUUCGAAACUGGUUUCCUUGAGUGUAGAUGAAGUAGGCGGAAUUUGUGGUGUAGCGGUGAAAUGCAUAGAUAUCACGAGGAACUCCGAUUGCGCAGGCAGCUUACUAAACUACUACUGACGCUCAGGCACGAAGGCGUGGGGAUCAAACAGGAUUAGAUACCCUGGUAGUCCACGCAGUAAACGAUGAUUACUAGCUGUUUGCGAUACAAUGUAAGCGGCUGAGCGAAAGCGUUAAGUAAUCCACCUGGGGAGUACGUUCGCAAGAAUGAAACUCAAAGGAAUUGACGGGG